UACAGAGGUCUCAAGCGUUGUUCGGAUUUAUUGGGCGUAAAGGGCGCGUAGGUGGCGCUGUAAGUCGGGUGUGAAAUUUCGGAGCUUAACUCCGAAACUGCAUUCGAUACUGCGGUGCUUGAGGACUGGAGAGGAGACUGGAAUUUACGGUGUAGCGGUGAAAUGCGUAGAUAUCGUAAGGAAGACCAGUGGCGAAGGCGGGUCUCUGGACAGUUCCUGACGCUGAGGCACGAAGGCCAGGGGAGCAAACGGG
rnacentral:rRNA from 1 species